AUUGUGGUUACCAUGAGUUGAUGGUGGAUGCCUUGGAAGGCUGAGGCGAAGAAGGACGUGGCGUGACUGCGAUAAGCCUCGGGGAGGUGUCAAGCAACCUUUGAUCCGGGGAUGUCCGAAUGGGGAAACCUAACUCGAUUAAAAUCGGGUUGCCCGACCCGCAAGGGUCAGGGCGCGCACCCGGGGAAGCAAAACAUUCCAGUACCCGGAGGAAAAUAAAACAAUUGUUAGUCCCUUAGUAGCGGCGAGCGAAAAGGGAAAUAGCCCAGAUCGAGCAUAUAAUUUAUGUGCUUGAAGUUAAAAGAGUGAGGCGCGGGAAAUUUUCUCCUUUACCCCGAGAUUUUCGAGGGGCAGAGAGAAAGUUUCUCAAGAAGUUACAAAAUUGAUGGUUAGCCGAAAUCUCCUGGAAAGAGAUACCAAAGAGGGUAAUAGUCCCGUAGGCGAAAAUCAAUCAAUCUUCUAGUCUCUUUUCUUAAGUACUAUGAGGUAUGAUAACCUUCGUAGGAAGUCGGUGGAACUACACCACCAAGGCUAAAUACUCAGCCUUACCGAU
rnacentral:rRNA from 1 species